UACGGGGGGGGCAAGCGUUGUUCGGAAUUACUGGGCGUAAAGGGCUCGUAGGCGGCCAACUAAGUCAGACGUGAAAUCCCUCGGCUUAACCGGGGAACUGCAUCUGAUACUGGAUGGCUUGAGUUCGGGAGAGGGAUGCGGAAUUCCAGGUGUAGCGGUGAAAUGCGUAGAUAUCUGGAGGAAUACCGGUGGCGAAGGCGGCAUCCUGGACCGAGAUUGACGCUGAUGAGCGAAAGCUAGGGGAGCAAACGGG
rnacentral:rRNA from 1 species